GUUUACUAAGCGACCACAACACAGGACGAAGGACCUCCGGAAAAGUCUUUAUAUUUAGUGAUUUUUUCCAGUUACCAAGCCUCUCUUCAUCCUUUAGGCCCGCCUGGAAGCUCUACACGUUCCUCCUCACGCCCUAUUGUAAACAAAUGACGUCACGGCCUCGUCCACCAAUCAGCGCGCGGCAGAUCGAGUCGUGCCCUGGGGAGCAGGAGGAACGGCACCUGAGGACAGACAGACACCUGGCACUCCAAGCUCAUCCUCGACUCAGCUUGGCUCAGCGUCUCUCGCCUUGUUGUAUUUUGAAUUUUGAUUUAUUUCCUUGUUUUCAUGGUUUUGUCGAGUUCUCACAUACUAUGUUAGAUAAUAUAGUUCAAGGUCUUGGUUCUCUAAAAAAAAAACCUGUCAACAUUUCCCAUAUUUUUCCACAUCCAAUCUCUUUCUGUCACUGAAUUGCCGGCCGAAGUAUAAGGCAAAAAUAUAAAAUCUUUCAAGUACAUUUAACCAGUACUCUAGUUAUUGAUACUGACAUAAUAGUUACGAUGAAUUCCCUUUCUUUUCAGUCGACCAGAAACUUUACUAUGUCAUUAUUUGCAGCCCACAAUGUCAAGAAUCAUUUCAGGAGCACUUUGACAAACCUCAUGUCUCUUUUAGGGACAGACAAGGCAAGAGGAUGGCGCCAGUGUCAACACCAUAUCAAGAGUAGCAAGAGAAUGGAAGAAGAACAGUGACAGUGAUAGCAACACAUCAAGAGGAACAAGAAUAGGAACAGAAACACCAUAUCAAGAGUAGAAAAAAAAAAGAGGAAUGGUGGUAGUGAUAAUACAGGGAGGAAAAGGAGAGCAGCAACAGCAUCCAUCACCCUGUAAAGAGUAUCCUCUUCACAAGUGUCAGACAACAAAGGUGGUGUGAUGGUGGGAACUGUCUGUACAGGUGAAAGGGAAGGUGGUUACUGGACAGCUCAUCCCCACACUUGUUUUCUCAUCUGUGCUGCACCCGAGUCAUUAGCGC